ACCACCCUCAGGAGAAGCAACCAGAAACGUCUCCAGCCAUUGCCACAUAGCCCCUGGAGGGCAAAAUCGUCCCCCGUAGAGAACUGCUGCCCUAGAGGUAUCCUGCAAGUACAAAAACCAAAACUCUGGUGUCAGUGAAAUACCGCCUCUCUUCUUCAAAGAGGUAAAUCCUACUUUACCAGUCCAGCAGUUGGCAAUCUACAAUCCAUGGGCCAAAUCUGGCUCACUGCCUGCUUUUUGCAAAUAAAGUUUUAGUGGAACACAGCCACGUCCAUCUAUGGCUGCUUUUGUGCAACAACGGCAGAGGCAUGCUGAUAAACAUCCAUUCAGAUCACGUCCUAAGGAAUUUCAGGAAACCAGAGGAGACUGGAUAUAAAAUACCAAGGAGGGGCUUGUUUUAAUACAUCACUGCAGCCAGCUACUUCCGCGAGGUCGUCCAGUGAUGCGUCUACGCCCUCGCCAGCUGGUCCGUUCAAGGCUGGGCUUUCGCUCUGUUCACCUUCUGUGUCCUGUUCACCAGGGCUCAGCAGCACCACCAGUGGUACCAUGAGAUAUUUGAAGAUUAUCCAAAAUUCAGAAAAAUUAUGAUUCUGUUUUUGUUUUAAGUUCAUUGUCAAUGGAAUUAUCUUCAACUUGAAGCUUUUCGAUGAUGU